AUGCUACUGCGAAGUAAAAAUAAAGUAGCAAACCUCUCCGAUUCGGAUGGUGAGUCUGAUAAUCAUCUGUCCAGGUUUCGGCGCAAAGAACGCUUGUCGAACAAAGGUCAUUUGCCUAUCACUGCGGGAAGUUCCUCCUGCAGUGGGCGUCAGCGAGUCGUGUCUAAACGACUGCAAGUUAUGUCCGAAAGCGAAUCAAGCGAGGAAAUGAAGGAAACAGCUACACCGGAUGAUUAUAGCAGCGAUGGUUCGGUUGAUCCGGUGGAACGGAUACACGAGAUGAAUAAUUUACCCGUUGUGAUAGUGCAAGUAAGACGACUGACAGCACAGCUUUCGGAUGUGUGUAACGAGUUGGAACAGAUGCUGAUGGGCGAAGGUCCAGAUGAGAAAACGCAGAUGGAGGAACUCAAACAGAAGCUGGUAAAUUUGGGUGCACAGUGUCAGCAAGAAUCGUCGAAGGUACGCAAAAUUACUGUUAAGCGCGGGAAACAACCUACUAAAAAGCGCAAGGAAGUAGUACAUCAAGAUUCAGACACAGUUUUCCCUCAGAAUGUUAGCCGGAUUCGUACGAACAGUGUUGAUUACACCGAUUAUCCCGCGGCGGAUGUUUCGAGAAUUAAUGGAGAAGUUGAUACUAAACUACCCAAUAAAAAUACAGAUCAACCGAUUCCGACGGUCGAGUCCACGAAAGAUAGUGGAAUCCCAUGCUCGGGACAGGAUGAGUCAAACGCAUUGGAAGAAAUGCGGGAAACUGAUAGUCCGGCAGUACUUCGUGAUGAUCCGUUUGAGGAUAUUAAUUCACAGAUUCAUGAUAUUACCGAUCCUCAGGAAUCGUUGGUCAACGCUGGAAACAUUGGAAGUACGGAUACAUUUGGUAAAGGUUGCGCCCAAGAAGAGGAAACUUGUUCGGAAGCUGUAGAUUCCGCGAUUAAUGAUGAUAUAUUUUGUGUGAAGUCAGAUGAUAUUGAUGCGGGGGAUGAUCAGGACGUCCAGUUUUUGAGUGCAACUGCUCCUCGACGUACAGGGAAAGGCCAAGAACGAGUAAAACAAGAAACGGACAUAGAAUCUUACUACCAACCCAAUCCAGCUUCGUCCAAGAUGCUUGAUGUGAAAUUAGUACCAAAGCUCAAAUCGGUAGACUCGAAGUUCAUCACAAAGUUUGAUCCAAACCCAAACCGCGAACCAACGAAGGAGGAAAUUCGUUAUAUUGUUCCGCAUCAGCCAAAGUUUAGUGUUUAUCACCAGGCCCAAGGUGAAAAUUUAGAGCUGUCUUUGAUGAAAAAAGAAAUUGAAAUGCGUCUUCGUGUCAAUGAGCUUUCGUGGGUUACUCAACGAGCGGUACGGGAUGAGAGCUCCCGAAUGAAAAAAGUUAACAAAAACAACGACGAACUUAAGCGCCAGUUGCAGCGAUACGAGCACAAACUUCCGCCAAAUCAGCUAAUUUUAGAUUACGAUAAGGAGAAAAAGACAUUCAUUCGAGUUCAUCCCGGGUUGGCCACGAAGAUGAAGCCUCACCAGAAAGAAGGCGUUAAAUUUAUGUACGAUUGUUGCUACGGGGGCGUCUCAGAUGUGAAAAAUUCCAAAGGCUCAGGAUGCAUCUUGGCCCACUGUAUGGGACUGGGAAAAACACUUCAAGUGAUCGCAUUGAUCAAUACAGUUAUUAGCUAUCCGCAGAUGCAAACCAAACGAAUCAUUGUGGUCUGUCCCAAAAGUACAGUGAUGAAUUGGGCGCAGGAGUUCCGUGAAUGGUUGGGUGACGUCGACAGUGAAAUACACUUGCAGGUUACCUACUUCCCUGAUAGCUCGAAUAUCUACAAAAAAUUGGAAGUCCUGAGAAACUUCCAUCAGGUAACUGGAAAAAACGCCAACUGUCUACUGAUUGGUUAUGAAGCGUACCGUUCGCUAGUGUUUUAUGAUUCCAAAAACAGAAAUGGCGAGCAACAAUCGGAUCGCAUCCGCGCGGAAGUUCGACGAGUUCUGAUCAACCCCGGAGCGGAUCUUAUAAUUCUCGAUGAGGGGCACAUUAUUAAAAACCGGAAGUCCCAAACCAACUUGGCGAUAGCGGAGGUAGCUACGAGGCGAAGAAUUAUUCUCACCGGCACACCAAUCCAAAACAAUCUCAAUGAAUACUUUUGCAUGGUGAGCUUUGUUAAACCAGCUUUUUUGGGUAACGAAAAAGAGUUCAAUGAGCACUACGCGAAACCAAUCAAAGAUGGACAGCACAAAGACUCGAACCCUGUUGAAAUCAAAUAUAUGAAAACUAAAUCCUUUAUCCUGCACAAACUGCUGGCAGACUUUGUACAACGGAAGGAAUUUAGCGUAUUAAAGGAGUUUCUGCCGAAAAAAUACGAAUAUGUGCUAUACGUACCACUUACGCCGGUACAGGAAGAUCUGUAUGAAGAGUACUUAAGGAGGUACCCGUUCCAACGCGACGUUGGCGGUUUAAAUUUGUUGGAGGAUUAUACGUUUCUUCGAAAAAUUUGGACGCAUCCCAUUGUUUUGGAGAGGGCUUGGGAAGUUGCAAUGAAGAAAAAGUAUGGUGUACAAGAGAAACGACGUGCAAUUCGUCAGGCUCGCGGCUUUGAUAGCAGUUCCGACGACGAAGAUGACAACGAUGAGGAUCAAACUCGUUCCAUCACUAACGUGUGGUGGAAGCAAAUAAUUAGUGCAGAUGAUUUAGAAUCGCUUUUCCCGAGUAAUAAAAUGCUGUUACUGUUCGAGAUUCUAAAGAUGUGCCAAGAGCGGGGCGAAAAAUGUUUGAUCUUUUCCGGUUUCGUAAUGGUUCUUAAUAUGGUUGAACAUUUUAUGAGAAAGAUUGACGAACAGGAUAAAAAUCCUAAGGCCAAUCUUUACGGGCUUUCUCGCUUCCGUGGCCCGUGGCGGCCAGGAAUGGAUUUCUAUCGAAUCGAUGGCGGUACUGCCAAAUCAACCCGACACGAGAUGGUUACCAAGUUCAAUGAUCCCAAAAAUCAUGUAACGAGAGUUUUCUUAAUUUCAACAAAAGCCGGUGGACAAGGUAUCAAUCUAGUGGGAGCGAACCGCGUUAUUAUUCUCGACACAUCCUGGAAUCCCGCUGUAGACCAGCAAGGAAUUUUCCGCAUCUAUCGGUUGGGUCAGAGAAAGACUUGCUACAUUUACCGGUUACUGGCAAUUCACACAAUGGAAGAGAAAGUUUACUCCCGAGCAGUUACCAAGCAAGCGAUGAGUCACCGGGUAGCGGAUAAGAAACAGGUCGAUCGAAACUACAACAUGGCUGAGUUAGAAGAACUGUAUCACUUUGAACGUGUUGAUAUGGGUGCUCGCGAGGAUCCGGCGCCAGCCGAAGACGAUCUUCUCUCUGCGCUAUUAUGGAAGCAUCAUAAUCUCAUAUAUCGCUACCAUACGCACGAAAUGAUGCUGGACAACAAAAACGAAAAGGAUUUAACCGAACUUGAGAAAAAGUUUGCUUGGGCAGAGUUCAAGAAAAAAGGUUUAUCGAGUCUGUACCUAGGAAUAGACAGUCAACCGUUGACCCAAAUGUCCAGCACAGUUUCGCAACAGUUCGACCUUGAUGGCGACUUGUUCUUCGACAGGCUGUUCGGGAAUUCCUGCGUUCAGGACCAAUCCGAAUUGAAACCAAGCAUUGCUGACACAAGCUUGAAGUCAUCAAUCACUCCACCGGAACCACUGACUGUCAAUACCUCCGAUGCUGAAGUGAUUGGAGACGAUUCCAUUAUUUUCGGUGAAGACCCUUACAAAGAUUCCAGCGUUGGCGGAAUGAGCAUUAUCGAGGAGCAACGAAGGAUGUUAGGUAUUAAAAAAGAACCAAAAGCCGAAAAACCUGCUCAAGUUACAGUAACUGAGGAAGAAGCUAAUUUGUUGCGCGAACUCGAAGAAAAUACGAAGUUGGAUGCAACAGCUCGGGUGAAACUAGAUACUCCCGAAGUUGCUAAGGUUGCAGCUUGUCAGACCCCCUUCAUUGAUACCAGUGAUUUGCUCAACCUUUCCUAUGAUGGUGAUCACGAUCGAUUUCAACCAGAUUCGCAAGAUGUACAAAUCCAACCUGAAUGCAAUGAUUUUCCACCCGAGAGCAACACAUCGAGUACAGAGCCUACUUGCUCCGAGUUAGUCCCAACGACUUCCGAUGUGACUAACACUAAAGACAACUCAUUCUCUUCGCUAAUCGAGUACGAUCCGGUUGGCGAUAGUCAAGAAAUUAGAGCAAUGACUGCCGCCGGUAAUAAUUUUCCCUCGAACAACAACGGAAGUCUCAUCGUCCCACCUUCCUACGAAACGUUCGUUUCCAAUAUGAAUAACGAUUGCAAAACUGUUACCAGUACCGUCAAACCGCCAGUUGUUCUGGAUGCGGUUGCAGCGAGUACCCCGGGCGUCAUGGCGACAGCGAUAGAACCGCGAAUGACACGUGCUAUGAAACGUAAAACGGUAUCGGCACCUAAAGUGACCGUUCGAUCGAAGAGGAAUCGAGUUUGAGCAUUGGAAGCAUGGCGCGAAUCAUUGAUGGAAGAUACAUUUUAUUUUAUGAGAAAUCGAAACUGAUUGGCAUUCUGCUGUUGCUUACGCAUGUAUCUGCAGGUUCGAUAUUGUAUAUCUGCCGAAUUGUCACACCAGCCUCAUUUGAAAGGUCCAAGGUAUAUGUGCUCCAAUUUUUAUCAGUGGGAGGCUCAUCUAAACUUGAAACAAUACUCAAAUAAGAAUGAAGCCGUCAAACAUUGAUAAUAUGUUUGAAUUCAUAAAUAUAAUCCGUAGCGUAAAAAACGCAAUCAAAUAAUACAUAUCCUUUCAUUUGAAUAUCCUCUAGACAAUUAUAUUCAUGUGUGAAAAGUAACAUACGCUUUAAAACGUGUGAUGUCGAGAACAAGAAAAAAUAUUGAUUCAGCUAUUAAUUAAAAAAAUCAAUUAUUGGUUAAAAACCGUUGUAAGAUUCUAGUACUGAGUAUAUAGGAAACCUCUAUCGAAAUUCAGGAAAAUUGCAAUGC